UACAGAGGUCUCAAGCGUUGUUCGGAUUCAUUGGGCGUAAAGGGUGCGUAGGCGGCGCGGUAAGUCGGGUGUGAAAUCUCGGAGCUUAACUCCGAAACUGCAUUCGAUACUGCCGUGCUUGAGGACUGGAGAGGAGACUGGAAUUUACGGUGUAGCAGUGAAAUGCGUAGAGAUCGUAAGGAAGACCAGUGGCGAAGGCGGGUCUCUGGAAAGUUCCUGACACUGAGGCACGAAGGCCAGGGGAGCAAACGGG
rnacentral:rRNA from 1 species